rnacentral:rRNA from 1 species
CACAUGCAGUCGAACGAUGAUGCCAGCUUGCUGGUGGAUUAGUGGCGAACGGGUGAGUAACACGUGAGUAACCUGCCCUUAACUCUGGGAUAAGCCUGGGAAACUGGGUCUAAUACCGGAUAUGACUCCUCAUCGCAUGGUGGGGGGUGGAAAGCUUUUUGUGGUUUUGGAUGGACUCGCGGCCUAUCAGCUUGUUGGUGAGGUAAUGGCUCACCAAGGCGACGACGGGUAGCCGGCCUGAGAGGGUGACCGGCCACACUGGGACUGAGACACGGCCCAGACUCCUACGGGAGGCAGCAGUGGGGAAUAUUGCACAAUGGGCGCAAGCCUGAUGCAGCGACGCCGCGUGAGGGAUGACGGCCUUCGGGUUGUAAACCUCUUUCAGUAGGGAAGAAGCGAAAGUGACGGUACCUGCAGAAGAAGCGCCGGCUAACUACGUGCCAGCAGCCGCGGUAAUACGUAGGGCGCAAGCGUUAUCCGGAAUUAUUGGGCGUAAAGAGCUCGUAGGCGGUUUGUCGCGUCUGCCGUGAAAGUCCGGGGCUCAACUCCGGAUCUGCGGUGGGUACGGGCAGACUAGAGUGAUGUAGGGGAGACUGGAAUUCCUGGUGUAGCGGUGAAAUGCGCAGAUAUCAGGAGGAACACCGAUGGCGAAGGCAGGUCUCUGGGCAUUAACUGACGCUGAGGAGCGAAAGCAUGGGGAGCGAACAGGAUU